UUUAGGCACUACAAUUUCAAUUUGAAUUCUUCACUUUUACCUUGCAACCAUUUAAAAUCUACAAUAAUUAAAAAAAUAUAGAUCUAUAAAUUUCAACCGAAAAUAUACUUCGAUACGGGUAUUCUGCGACAAACAUUUGCGGGUCAGAGUUUGUUCUUUGAUAAAAUUUUACCAACAUGUUUAUGAAGGAUUUGUUAGUUGUCUGUAAGCUUAAACCUUUUGACGACUAAGAACUUAUCAAUUAGUAUCAAUUAUGACUGUUAGUUAUAAAUCUUCUCAUGUAUGCAAAAGGUUUGCUCAAAAUAGGGUUUUAGUUAAUUAUUAUUAAGAAUCACAACCACUCCCCUCC
rnacentral:lncRNA from 1 species